UACAGAGGGGGCAAACGUUAUUCGGAAUUACUGGGCUUAAAGAGUUCGUAGGCGGCGCGGAAAGUAGGGUGUGAAAGCCCUCGGCUCAACCGAGGAAUUGCGCUCUAAACUGCCGUGCUUGAGGACCUAGAGGUGAGCAGAACUGAUGGUGGAGCGGUGAAAUGCGUUGAUAUCAUAGGAAUACCGGAGGCGAAGGCGGCUCACUGGGGGGGUUUUUCUGACGCUGAGGAACGAAAAGCCAGGGGGAGCGAACGGGG
rnacentral:rRNA from 1 species